rnacentral:rRNA from 1 species
GGAUCAACGCUGGCGGCGCGCCUAAUGCAUGCAAGUCGGACGGGGUCGGCUUCGGUCGGCUCACGUGGCGGACGGGCGAGGAACACGUGGGCAACCUGCCCUGGGGCGGGGGGUAGCCCUCGGAAACGAGGGGUAAUUCCGCGUACGCUCGCAUCCCGGUGGGGGAUGGGAGGAAAGGCGAAAGCCACCCUAGGAGGGGCCUGCGGCGGAUUAUGCUGGUUGGCGGGGUAACGGCCCACCAAGGCGGUGAUCCGUAGCUGGUCUGAGAGGACGGCCAGCCGCAGGGGGACUGAG